rnacentral:rRNA from 1 species
CGUGGCUUCCGGAGCUAACGCGUUAAGUCGCGCCUGGGGAGUACGGCCGCAAGGUUAAAACUCAAAUGAAUUGACGGGGGCCCGCACAAGCGGUGGAGCAUGUGGUUUAAUUCGAUGCAACGCGAAGAACCUUACCUGGCCUUGACAUCCAGAGAACUUAGCAGAGAUGCUUUGGUGCCUUCGGGAACUCUGAGACAGGUGCUGCAUGGCUGUCGUCAGCUCGUGUUGUGAAAUGUUGGGUUAAGUCCCGCAACGAGCGCAACCCUUAUCCUUUGUUGCCAGCGGUUCGGCCGGGAACUCAAAGGAGACUGCCGGUGAUAAACCGGAGGAAGGUGGGGAUGACGUCAAGUAUCAUGGCCCUUACGGCCAGGGCUACACACGUGCUACAAUGGCGCAUACAAAGAGAAGCGACCUCGCGAGAGCAAGCGGACCUCAUAAAGUGCGUCGUAGUCCGGAUUGGAGUCUGCAACUCGACUCCAUGAAGUCGGAAUCGCUAGUAAUCGUAGAUCAGAAUGCUACGGUGAAUACGUUCCCGGGCCUUGUACACACCGCCCGUCACACCAUGGGAGUGGGUUGCAAAAGAAGUAGGUAGCUUAACCUUCGGGAGGGCGCUUACCACUUUGUGAUUCAUGACUGGGGUGAAGUCGUAACAAGGUAACCGUAGGGGAACCUGCGGUUGGAUCACCUCCUUACCUGAAGAUAC